CCAUUGCUCAGUUGGUAGAGCACAAGGCUCUUAACCUUGUGGAUGUGGAUUCAAGCCCCAUGAUGGG
rnacentral:tRNA from 1 species